AUUGAACGCUGGCGGCAGGCCUAACACAUGCAAGUCGAGCGAGCGGCGGACGGGUGAGUAAUGUAUGGGGAUCUGCCCGAUAGAGGGGGAUAACUACUGGAAACGGUGGCUAAUAGCGCAUACUAUCGGAUGAACCCAUAUGGGAUUAGCUAGUAGGUGGGGUAAAGGCUCACCAAGGCGACGAUCUCUAGCUGGUCUGAGAGGAUGAUCAGCCACACUGGGACUGAGACACGGCCCAGACUCCUACGGGAGGCAGCAGUGGGGAAUAUUGCGCAAUGGGGGCAAGCCUGACGGAGCCAUGCCGCGUGAAUGAAGAAGGCCUUCGGGUUGUAAAGUUCUUUCGGUAGCGAGGCGUUACUCGCAGAAGAAGCACCGGCUAACUCCGUGCCAGCAGCCGCGGUAAUAC
rnacentral:rRNA from 1 species